rnacentral:lncRNA from 1 species
CAGACCCAGCAGGGCCUGGCCCAGUUUCCAGCCUGGCCCCCAGCACUAUUCCCUGCAAAGGGAGGGGCCCUCGGUGCUGACAGAGGAGCACCUAAUCCGAGUCAUUAGUGCUGGUGGCGGCGUGAUUCCUGCCAAACGGGAGCCACGUGUUGCCCUGUGUCAACCCUGAGGCAUCAAAGAUGGUGCUGCUGUCACCCAGCAGUGCUGACAGAUUGCCCAGUGGAGCAGAGAAUACCAAUUUAACACUAUUUAGGACAGUAUUGUGAAGUAUAUCUUGAGCUAUGAAUUAUCACUCAGAAGAUGCCAGUGGGAGGCCAAGUUCAAAAAGGAUGUUCCUAAGAAGGUGGAGGUGUUGGAUCACGAGCUCACUUUCUCUGUUUGAAAUGAGGCAUUGCAAUGGCAUGUUGCAAUUCCAGCAGGGUUAUUUUGGUAGAGAACAAACAAUUGCUGGUGAGGCGUGUGCGAGUCUGAGAGGGCGAGACGCUGCUGGGGAAAAUUUGGAAGGAGGAAAGGAAACUUGCCUUAAUGUAAGCAGCAGUUUUGCUAGAGCAAAUAUCCAUUACAGACUUGUCUGUCCUCAUCUGGAUUUUGAAAAAUGAUCAAAACCUGCCACUACAUCUUUAUACUUUGAGAAAAUGUCUGGUAUUCUCUCCUAUCAGAAU